rnacentral:lncRNA from 1 species
AUAUGUGUGUAUAUAUAUAUGUAUAUGUGUGUGUAUAUAUAUAUAUAUAUAUAUAUAUAUAUAUAUAUAUAUAUAUAUAUAUAUAUAUAUAUAUAUAUAUAUUGAGUAAUUUAGUGUUUGUCUUUUUUUGUAUGUCCUUUUUUAUUAUUAAUUUAGGGCAAAUGAAACUUUUUUUAAUAAAGUUUAUAUAUAUAUAUAUAUAUAUAUAUAUAUAUAUAUAUAUAUAUAUAUAUAUAUAUAUAUAUAAAGAAUGUUCAUAUAAAGUUAACGUUUAUUUUAUUAUAGUUUAUAUUAUUGUUUAUAUAUAUCUAUAUAUAGAGUUUUUGUUAACUGUAACAACCCUGCUUCUGGAAAUUGAUUUGAUCUAAUAACCAGAGACCGUGCGCGCUCCCGCAUCUUGCGCACAGCUCUGCUCAGGUGAAACACGAGACGCGCUCUGUGCACCUGUCUUACCUGCUUGAGCGCAACACAUCCGCAGACACCUCGGUGAAAUUCUCUCGAAGCCUGAGACCUGUCUCAUCACAAAUAUCUACGAACAGUCUUCUUGGAUCUACAGAUGUUUGUGUGUUUCCUCCGGCACUCGGAAGCGCAGUCAUGAUGCAGCACAAUAGGAAGUACUCGCCACCGCGCUUCUGCGCCGUCGGGUCACCGCUAGCCCUGCCUCAACUGAACCGAUUACCCACUCUUUGGUUAGAAGAAGCUGAGCUGAUGGAGAAGAAUUCGCCGAAAGCCAAAUCCAGAAUGCGAAAUGCCAUGGUGAAGGCGGUGAGGAGAGCUCCGUCUCCCCAGAGGCCUCGAGUCUUUCCAAACCCCGCGCAAAGCGACGCGCUACUGAAGGUGGCAGAGAACGGGGCAGCCGCACAGCGGUCUAGAAAGAGGGGCUUCAAACCCCCGGAUGUGAGGACGAUAUUCGACCCCCGCGUGAAAGAGGAGAAAGGAGAAGGACACACGUUUUGUGAGGACGCGACGUACGCUUGGUGCGAUGUGUGUUGCUCGUAUAUCUUUCACGGUGGAUUGACAUGUACAGGUUGUAAAUACACGUGUCAUGCUCAGUGCCGUGACCAGGUGGCGCUAGACUGUCAUCAGAACGGAUCCAUUAAUGGCUACCCACUCAACCCUCUUGCUCAGGACCAUAUUAACAACAAUCAAUCCUCAGACAGCGUGAGUACAGAGUUUAUUCAUGUCUACUUUCACUGA